rnacentral:lncRNA from 1 species
GAUAAAUCAAAUUUUCUUUUCAAUCAGUUAUCAUUAUUACGUGGAUAUUUUAACGUAACACAUUCAUACGUAAUUAAUAAAAUCUUUUUUAUACUUAUGCCUUAUGUAUAUAUACGAAAGGCAUUUUGUGAAUCAAGAACGUAUUAUGUGUAUACUCAUUUGAAAAGAAAAAUAGAAAGUGCUCAACAAUGUUCCAGUUUUGGUACAACAUCCACGUCGGCAUACACCAAUGAUGACUCUUACAAAGGUAACACAUACAACGACAACACGUACAACGAUAGCACAUGUAACGACAACACAUAUAAUGGGGGUACUCAUAGUGGAAGUACAUAUAACACGGGGAUAUACAAUAAUCACAAUUAUAUCGGUAACAUUAAAGACCAAAGUCAAUACGAACAAAAGAAACGAAAUAUAAAUAACGAACAUGACCCACAAAAUAAUUACUAUUUUUCAAAUGAAAAAAAAAAAAAUAAAAAUAGUAACAACAAUAAUAAUAUGAACAUGUUAAGGAAUAAUUCGAGUGAUAUAAAUUAUAUUGAUUAUAGUAGUCAUAUUGGUAUAUUUAAACCUGACUUAUAUAUACCAUUAAUGUCAACUAUAACAUAUAUUUUAUUAUGUACAUUAACUGUUACGACUCAAAAAAAUAGUUUUAAUCCUGAUAGUUUAUUUAAUAUUUCUUCGUAUGUAUUUUUAUUAUUAAUUUUCGAAACAGCUAUAGUAAAAUUUUUUUUUCUCGUAUUAUGUAGAGAUAUAAAUCUUUCCUUUUUACAUAUACUCUCAUUUAUAUCAUAUAAGUUUGUUAUAAUGUGCGCAUUAAUUAUCACGAAGAUACUUUAUUAUUUCUUGUUUCUUAUGUAUGCGUCUACUUUUGGAAUGAGUGAUAAUGAAAUUUUAAAUCCAGAUGAAGAAAAUAAUGCUGACCUUGUUAAUAAUAUGUACGCAUUUAAAAGUACUAAUAAUAAAUUUACAUUUAGUUUAAGUCCCUACAAUAUUGUUUUAUUUUUAAAUAGUUAUACUAUGUACAGAUUUACACGAAUAUAUUUUUAUAUUACUGUAGUAGUAC